CCAGCAGCUGCGGUAAUUCCAGCUCCAAUAGCAUAUAUUAAAGUUGUUGCAGUUAAAAAGCUCGUAGUUGGAUUUCUGGGAGGGCGCCAAUGUCCGCUCGUUCGCGUGUGCAGCGGCGCCCUUCCAUCCUUCUGUUAACGCUUCUUGGUAUUCACUUACUGGUAGCGGGCUCAGAUAUUUUACCUUGAGAAAAUUAGAGUGUUCAAAGCAGGCCUACGCUUGAAUACAUUAGCAUGGAAUAAUGGAAUAGGACUUUGGUGCUAUUUUGUUGGUUUAUGGGACCGAAGUAAUGAUUAACAGGGACAGUUGGGGCCGUUUAUAUUUCGUUGUCAGAGGUGAAAUUCUUGGAUUUACGAAAGAUAAACUUCUGCGAAAGCAUUCGGCAAGGAUGUUUUCAUUGAUCAAGAACGAAAGU
rnacentral:rRNA from 1 species